AGCGAACGCUGGCGGCAGGCCUAACACAUGCAAGUCGAACGAACCUUUCGGGGUUAGUGGCGGACGGGUGAGUAACACGUGGGAACGUGCCUUUAGGUUCGGAAUAACUCAGGGAAACUUGUGCUAAUACCGAAUGUGCCCUUCGGGGGAAAGAUUUAUCGCCUUUAGAGCGGCCCGCGUCUGAUUAGCUAGUUGGUUGAGGUAAUGGCUCACCAAGGCGACGAUCAGUAGCUGGUCUGAGAGGAUGAUCAGCCACAUUGGGACUGAGACACGGCCCAAACUCCUACGGGAGGCAGCAGUGGGGAAUCUUGCGCAAUGGGCGAAAGCCUGACGCAGCCAUGCCGCGUGAAUGAUGAAGGUCUUAGGAUUGUAACAUUCUUUCACCGGCGACGAUAAUGACGGUACCCGGAGAAGAAGCACCGGCUAACUUCGUG
rnacentral:rRNA from 1 species